UAGCUCAGUCGGUAGAGUGCAAGGCUUUUAACCUUGAGGUUGUGGGUUUGAGCCCCAC
rnacentral:tRNA from 1 species